rnacentral:ncRNA from 1 species
CGAUCGGGAGGCUCCGUGAUGGGACGCGGGCGCCACGAAUUGAUCGAAAUCCAUCCUCUCGAAUGGCCAUGUUGCUGAAGCCCAUCAGCACUAUG